GACGAACGCUGGCGGCGUGCUUAACACAUGCAAGUCGAACGGUGAAGCGCUGCCCUUUUUGGUGGGUGUGGUUGAGUGGCGAACGGGUGAGUAACACGUGAGUAACCUGCCCUCUUCUUCUGCAUAACCGCACGAAAGCGUGUCUAAUAUGGGAUAUCCUGGGUCUGUCGCAUGAUGGGUCCGGUACGGAUAUUGUGUCGGUGGGCGAUGGUCUUGCGGCGUGUCAGGUUGUUGGGGCGGUGCUGGCCUUUCAAGGCGGUGGGGGGUAGACGGCCUGAGAGGGUGGACGGUCAGAAUGGGGGUGAGACACGGCCCGGACUGCUACGGGGGGCAGCAGUGGAGGGUAUUGCACAGUGGGGGAAAGGCUGAUGCAGCGGGGACGCGGGAGGGAUGGAGGCCUUGGGGUUGUGAACCUCUUUCGGCGGUGAAGCCGGCCUGCCUGGUUUGUAGGGGGAUUGACGGUAACGGGUAAAGAAGCACCGGCUAACUACGUG
rnacentral:rRNA from 1 species